rnacentral:rRNA from 1 species
GAUGAACGCUGGCGGCGUGCCUAAUACAUGCAAGUCGAACGCUUCACUUCGGUGAAGAGUGGCGAACGGGUGAGUAAUACAUAAGUAACCUGGCAUCUACAGGGGGAUAACUGAUGGAAACGUCAGCUAAGACCGCAUAGGUGUAGAGAUCGCAUGAACUCUAUAUGAAAAGUGCUACGGGACUGGUAGAUGGUGGACUUAUGGCGCAUUAGCUUGUUGGUAGGGUAACGGCCUACCAAGGCGACGAUGCGUAGCCGACCUGAGAGGGUGACCGGCCACACUGGGACUGAGACACGGCCCAGACUCCUACGGGAGGCAGCAGUAGGGAAUUUUCGGCAAUGGGGGAAACCCUGACCGAGCAACGCCGCGUGAAGGAAGAAGUAAUUCGGUAUGUAAACUUCUGUCAUAGAGGAAGAACGGUGGAUAUAGGGAAUGAUAUCCAAGUGACGGUACUCUAUAAGAAAGCCACGGCUAACUACGUG